rnacentral:rRNA from 1 species
GGCCAGCAUCAGUUUUGGUGGCAAGAUAAUGNCAUUUGAACGUGGCUCUUCGGAGUGUUAUAGCUUUUGUGUGANAUUGCCUACUGGGANUGAGGUCUGCGCUUUUGCCUAGGAUGCUGGCGUAAU